UUUGGGUGUAUGCUGGAAUGAGUUAAGACUUUUGGGGACUGUUGCUGUAUCUGCUUAUUAGGCCCUAGAAACUGCAUGAUUUUCUAGACCUGCUUCUUGAAGUGCUCCACCCUGAGGCCAGUAACCCAAUUAAGAAACCAGCAGAUGACAAAUCUUACAACUACUGGAUCUUCUUCUGUUUGUCUGUGUAGUUAUAUAUGUCUUCAAAAAUUGUCUUUUUGACCUCUAUCUUUUGAGUACUACAGAAAGCCCCUGGAGCAUCCAAAACAGAGGUUUCUGAUAACUUUGGAGAUUUGGAAUGGAGGAAAACAUACAAGACUCAUGAAGAGCUGAAAUGUUCAUGAAUAUCAAGCAGAACAAGAGUUGAUGGAAUGGGCUGAACUAAUAGAAAACUGAAGUAAUCUUUUAUACAUUUUUGCUUAAAACAUUGCUGAUCCUUGUUCUGUUUUUCAGAGUCAGGAAAACUUAUUUUGAACUAUUUACAGCUUUUAACAAUUGAGUAAGGUAUACUCCUAUGAACAAAGUUUGCUUCUCUAUGGCUGGUUUCUCCAGAAUUUGCAAACAAGCUGUGAGGUUGUUUUUCUGUUUGUUUGUUUGUUUUUUGGUUUUUGACAGAAUUUUGCUGUGUCACCAAGGGUGCAGGGCAAUGGUAUGAUCAUGAUCUUGGCUCACUGCAACCUCCAUCUCCUGGGUUCAAGCAAUUCUGCCUCAGGCUCCUGAGUAGCUGAGAUUACAGGCACCCACUACCA